UGGUCCAAAAAAGGGAAGUAGGUAAAUAAAUGCUUUUGAUUGAUUAUAAACAUGAUUAACCAUGUUACAAUUCUGUUUCAUAAGGCAUCACAGAGUUGGGACAAUUAUAUGGUGCUGAUAUCCUUAGAUGUAGUGUUUGUUUGUUAGGCUUGUAUAUUGAAGGAAAUAAAGAGAGUUUUUCAGAAGUGGUUUUUACAGUGAUUUGCUCUAAAUCAGAAAAAUAAUUGAAAUAAAGGUGUGAAAUUGAUAUUUGGAUUUACCAAUUCUUAGUUUGAUCUUGGAGCCUGGAACAUUCACACUAUUUGUAAUGAGAUUUUCAUCACGUGAUGUUUUUAUGCUGCAAUAUGAUAUGAAUUUGAGCCCUUGCCACUCAUAUGCAGUGAUGUAAUUUCAUUUGAGUCUUGAGAAAGUUGGUGACUUGUUAAUGUCAGUAUUGAUGUUUCUCAGUGCAAAGCAAAGAAGGUUGUUUAUUUGUUAUGUUGAGGUCAUAUAUGGACAUAACCAGAAGAGCAGCAUUAAACCAUAGGAGAAUAUUUCUUUUCAUCUUUUGAUAAUCCAACUUGGAAUUACUCCUUUGGAAAGUCAGUGUUCAUGUUUUUUCAUUGAGAAUGUAUAAAUAAAAUUCUCAAUUGAAACUUAAAAAAAGUAAAUAACUAGUUGAAAUAGUUUGCAGUGUUUAGAAUUACUUGGUAAUUAGUGGAAGUGGAUAUUGACAUUAACAAAUUUCCAACCCCACUGUGAUUUGCGAUGAGAUAAAAGGAAGAAAGGGGAUGAAAAGUCUCUCAAACAAAGUCUUCUGAUUGAAAGGUGCAGUGUUUUGUUUAUUUGAGAUAUAAGGAAGAGUUCAAAUGUGAUCAUCUCACUGCAUCAUCCCCAUUUUUUUUUCUCUUAUUUCCUUAAAAUGAGUGUGUUGGUUCGGUUUACUUGAUUCAACUUAAAAUUUCUACUGAAAUGUUUUUAUAAUAGUCAUGUGAUGCUUUUAAUUUAAGUUAUAUGUAAAAUACUCUUCUAGUUUGAACUUAUGAUUUUUUUUCAUAGGCGCUAUUACUUGGUAGUAUUUUUAAAUAUUUGUCAACUGCAGGAUGUAUUUGGUUACUUGAGCUUAAAAAAUUUGUUUUAACGGUUGUGUUGUUCUUUAUUGCCCCUGAGGUUUUUGUGCACUUUAUUUCUCCAUUGAAUGCCUCUAAAUAAAAUUUUAAGUUUGAACAUCAAUUCCAAUAUCUACUUGAAUUAGAGUUUCCAAAUGCCAUGAUAGAAUAAUCUUUUGGCCAAAAUUUCAAAAAUAAAGGGCUGCAGUAUAUUAUUCAGUCAACUUCUGCUUUCGUUGUGUUGGGCUUGUUGGCAAUUCUAGGGAAGUAAAUUUUCCUGUUGCUUAAGAGUACUACGCUGUUAACCUACAUUUCACUUCCUAUCUCUUCUGUGUUUACAUCUGAGAUGUUUUGCUAUGAACACCGAUAUAUUUUUAUGGUGCCUUAUGAGAAAUCAGAAUCUCAACACAUUUUUAUUGGUAUUUCUCUUCAUGAUGUUAAAAAGUCUGCAAUAUCAUUAUGACUAUUGAUGUGGGGAAAGCCAACUCAUACUCCCUUGUGCAUGCUUUCAUUUGUGAGUUACUAUUUGGACAGUGACAGGAAAAUUUUGCUACUUAGGUUGACCCAUAGGAGGAAUACUGGCACAAUAUGAAUACCCUAAGUUUCAUGAUGAACUGUCAAAUGAUACAAAUGUUUUGAUUUGCUGAAUAGUAAAUGUGGGUUGUAAUUAAGCAAGUGCUUGGAUUUCUGCGUGCAUUUUUGUGCAGCCCUUAUGCCAUGAAAAAUCAACUUGCUAUUUGUAAAAAAGAAGUUAAUGUCCACUAGUUGUUAUUAACACUGUAUACUGAAAUGGGAAUGGAACCAAUAUUAAACUUAAAUAACACUUUCCAGUAGUGUUCUUCUAAUGCACAUUAAAAACUUUGAAAUAGAACAAAUGGCGUUAACAAUCAACAUGGAGUUCAUCUUUUGCAAAAAGAUGUGAACCUUGCCAAAUUAUGCGUCUGUCUCAGUGACAUGGAUGUUUAUCCUUAACAUGACUUCUGCAGGUAUGUUCCAUCUUUUUUGCCACCUCCCAUGGCAGUCAAGG
rnacentral:misc_RNA from 1 species